rnacentral:sRNA from 1 species
AAAAAAGGUCUCCCCAGUGCUAGCUGCCGAAGCACCCAGAUAAGAGCUGGACGGAGGCUAAAGCGGCAGCCCCAGCUUCGCGCCCCGCCCAGUCCCUUUCCCCUGCUGGGGAUCCCCCCUCUUCCCCGCCCACCCCUUACCCGCAUGCAGCCCAGCGCCCUAUGCUAGCCCUCCCCCUCCCCCCCUGCUGGAGCGGGGCGCCGCCGGGGGAGGAGGGGGAAUCGGCUGCGGGUCCUUGGUGUUUCCAGCACCCAGUUUCCCUUCAAGCCGGGUCGCGAUGUACGACUGUAUGGAAACGUUUGCCCCGGGUCCGCGACGGCUGUACGGGGCGGCCGGGCCCGGGGCCGGCUUGCUGCGCAGAGCCACCGGCGGCUCCUGUUUCGCCGGACUUGAAUCUUUUGCCUGGCCGCAACCCGCCAGCCUGCAAUCGGUGGAGACACAGAGCACCAGCUCAGAGGAGAUGGUGCCCAGCUCGCCCUCGCCCCCUCCGCCUCCUCGGGUCUACAAGCCAUGCUUCGUGUGCAAUGACAAGUCCUCUGGCUACCACUAUGGGGUCAGCUCUUGUGAAGGCUGCAAGAGGCCCUCUCUCUUUCCCUCAACUCCAGGGCUUCUUUCGCCGAAGCAUCCAGAAGAACAUGGUGUACACGUGUCACCGCGACAAAAACUGUAUCAUCAACAAGGUGACCAGGAAUCGCUGCCAGUACUGCCGGCUACAGAAGUGCUUCGAAGUGGGCAUGUCCAAGGAAGCUGUGCGAAAUGACCGGAACAAGAAGAAGAAAGAGGUGAAGGAAGAAGGGUCACCUGACAGCUAUGAGCUGAGCCCUCAGUUAGAAGAGCUCAUCACCAAGGUCAGCAAAGCCCAUCAGGAGACUUUCCCCUCGCUCUGCCAGCUGGGCAAGUAUACCACGAACUCCAGUGCAGACCACCGCGUGCAGCUAGAUCUGGGGCUGUGGGACAAGUUCAGUGAGCUGGCUACCAAGUGCAUCAUCAAGAUCGUGGAGUUUGCCAAGCGGUUGCCUGGCUUUACAGGGCUCAGCAUUGCUGACCAGAUCACUCUGCUCAAGGCUGCCUGCCUAGAUAUCCUGAUGCUGCGUAUCUGCACAAGGUACACCCCAGAGCAGGACACCAUGACCUUCUCCGAUGGGCUGACCCUGAACCGGACCCAGAUGCACAAUGCCGGCUUCGGGCCCCUUACAGACCUUGUCUUUGCCUUUGCUGGGCAGCUCCUGCCCCUGGAGAUGGAUGACACCGAGACAGGGCUGCUCAGCGCCAUCUGCCUCAUCUGCGGAGGUGCGGGGGCGCCCCCUGGCGUCUGCUCAGUGCUCAGUCUCCUUUCCCACCACUCCAUGCGGGAUCUGUCUGGGAGGGGGCGUGGAGGACCCAGUGGUCUCUUCUGCUGGUAAUUCUUGCACCUGGCCCCAUCCAGAGAGUUCUGAAACCCUGUACAGGCUUCCCAAAAGGCCGGUUGGGGAUCAGCCAUCUGUCACUGUGUCUUCCCCAUCUCUUCCUUCCCCUCUCACUCCAGUAUACUUGUCCCCAUAGACCGCAU